rnacentral:rRNA from 1 species
GACGAACGCUGGCGGCGUGCUUAACACAUGCAAGUCGAACGGAAAGGCCCCCACCUUGGUGGGGGUGCUCGAGCGGCGAACGGGUGAGUAACACGUGGGUGAUCUGCCCUGUACUUCGGGAUAAGCUUGGGAAACUGGGUCUAAUACCGGAUAGGACCAUGGUUUAGUGUCUCAUGGUGGAAAAAUUAUUGUUUUGGUGCAGGAUGAGCUCGCGGCCUAUCAGCUUGUUGGUGGGGUAAUGGCCUACCAAGGCGUCGACGGGUAGCCGGCCUGAGAGGGUGGACAGCUACAGUGGGACGGAGAUCCGGCCCAGACGCCGACGGGAGGCAGCAGGGGGGAAUAUUGAGGAAUGGGCGCAAGCCUGAGGCAGCGACGCCGCGUGGGGAAUGACGGCCUUCGGGUUGUAAACUCCUUUCGUUAGGGACGAAGCCACACCUUUUUUGGGUGUGGUGACGGUACCUUUGUGAAGAAGCACCGGCUAACUACGUG